UGGCUCAGGAUGAACGCCAGCUACAGGCUUAACACAUGCAAGUCGAGGGGAAACGACAUCGAAAGCUUGCUUUUGAUGGGUGUCGACCGGCGCACGGGUGAGUAACGCGUAUCCAACCUGCCCAUCACUUGGGAAUAACCUUGCGAAAGAAAGACUAAUACCCAAUGAUAUCCCACGAAGGCAUCCGAAUGGGAUUAAAGAUUUAUCGGUGAUGGAUGGGGAUGCGUCUGAUUAGCUUGUUGGCGGGGUAACGGCCCACCAAGGCAACGAUCAGUAGGGGUUCUGAGAGGAAGGUCCCCCACAUUGGAACUGAGACACGGUCCAAACUCCUACGGGAGGCAGCAGUGAGGAAUAUUGGUCAAUGGGCGAGAGCCUGAACCAGCCAAGUAGCGUGCAGGACGACGGCCCUAUGGGUUGUAAACUGCUUUUAUAAGGGAAUAAAGUGAGUCUCGUGAGACUUUUUGCAUGUACCUUAUGGAUAAGGACCGGCUAAUUCCGUGCCAGCAGCCGCGGUAAUACGGAAGGUCCGGGCGUUAUCCGGAUUUAUUGGGUUUAAAGGGAGCGUAGGCCGGAGAUUAAGCGUGUUGUGAAAUGUAGAGGCUCAACCUCUGCACUGCAGCGCGAACUGGUCUUCUUGAGUACGCACAACGUGGGCGGAAUUCGUGGUGUAGCGGUGAAAUGCUUAGAUAUCACGAAGAACUCCGAUUGCGAAGGCAGCUCACGGGAGCGCAACUGACGCUGAAGCUCGAAAGUGCGGGUAUCGAACAGGAUUAGAUACCCUGGUAGUCCGCACGGUAAACGAUGGAUGCCCGCUGUUGGCCUGAAUAGGUCAGCGGCCAAGCGAAAGCAUUAAGCACCCCACCUGGGGAGUACGCCGGCAACGGUGCAACUCAAAGGAAUUGACGG
rnacentral:rRNA from 1 species